rnacentral:rRNA from 1 species
CCUGUCGGUGUAACUGGCAUGUCGCGGCAUGUCCUGUCGGUGGUGAACGGGAUCCCCGGUGCUGUUUAGGCUUAAUUGCCGAAGCAUGUACCGUGUGUGUUUUCGUUUGCCGAUCUCUCCUACUCCGGUGCUCUUAAACGAGUGUCGAGGUAGGCCGACACGUUCACUUUGAACAAAUUAGAGUGCUUAAAGCAGGCUGAAAUAUCUGCCUGAAUAGUGGUGCAUGGAAUGAUAAAACAGGACCUCGGUUCUAUUUUGUUGGUUUUAGGAAUAUGAGGUAAUGAUCAAUGUGGACUGGCGGGGGCAUUCGUAUUGCGACGUUAGAGGUGAAAUUCUUGGAUCGUCGCAAGACGCACUAGAGCGAAAGCAUUUGCCAAGUAUGUCUUAAUUGAUCAAGAACGAAAGUUAGAGGUUCGAAGGCGAUCAGAUACCGCCCUAGUUCUAACCAUAAACGAUGCCAGCCAGCGAU